ACGUAGGGUGCAAGCGUUAAUCGGAAUUACUGGGCGUAAAGCGUGCGCAGGCGGUUCGGAAAGAAAGGUGUGAAAUCCCAGGGCUUAACCUUGGAACUGCACUUUUAACUACCGAGCUAGAGUAUGUCAGAGGGGGGUGGAAUUCCGCGUGUAGCAGUGAAAUGCGUAGAUAUGCGGAGGAACACCGAUGGCGAAGGCAGCCCCCUGGGAUAAUACUGACGCUCAUGCACGAAAGCGUGGGGAGCAAACAGGAUUAGAUACCCUGGUAGUCCACGCCCUAAACGAUGUCAACUAGCUGUUGGGGCCUUCGGGCCUUAGUAGCGCAGCUAACGCGUGAAGUUGACCGCCUGGGGAGUACGGUCGCAAGAUUA
rnacentral:rRNA from 1 species